rnacentral:rRNA from 1 species
CACCGCCCGUCACACCAUGGGAGUUUGCUGCACCAGAAGCAGGUAGCUUAACCGCAAGGGGGCGCCUACCACGGUGAGAUUCAUGACUGGGGUG